AUCGGGUGUGGUGGUGCUCACCUGUAAUCCCAGCAGCUCGGGAGGCUGAGGCAGGAGGAUCGUGAGUGCAAAGCCAGCCUCAGCAAUGGCAAGGUGCUAAGCAACUCAGUGAGACCCUGUCUCAA
rnacentral:sRNA from 1 species